UAAUCUUCGCCACGCCAAGGUUUUCAUCCCUUUAUCCGAAUAGAGAGAUGAAAUGAAAAGGGAAGCCGGUGCGAAUCCGGCGCUGCCCCGCAGCGGUAUGUGGAAACGACCCCCGCCAUCGCACUGGGCCAGGAAAUCUGGUUCGGGAAGCGGCGGGCAUUAGGCGGCUCAGGUGUCCUGAGCCAUAUCCACGAGCCCGAAGACCUGCCUUGGCCGAAGCGCGCCC
rnacentral:ncRNA from 2 species